GAUGAACGCUGGCGGCGUGCUUAACACAUGCAAGUCGAACGAUGAAGCCCAGCUUGCUGGGUGGAUUAGUGGCGAACGGGUGAGUAACACGUGAGUAACCUGCCCUUAACUCUGGGAUAGCCUGGGAAACUGGGUCUAAUACCGGAUAGGAGCGUCCACCGCAUGGUGGGUGUUGGAAAGAUUUAUCGGUUUUGGAUGGACUCGCGGCCUAUCAGCUUGUUGGUGAGGUAAUGGCUCACCAAGGCGACGACGGGUAGCCGGCCUGAGAGGGUGACCGGCCACACUGGGACUGAGACACGGCCCAGACUCCUACGGGAGGCAGCAGUGGGGAAUAUUGCACAAUGGGCGCAAGCCUGAUGCAGCGACGCCGCGUGAGGGAUGACGGCCUUCGGGUUGUAAACCUCUUUCAGUAGGGAAGAAGCGAAAGUGACGGUACCUGCAGAAGAAGCACCGGCUAACUACGUG
rnacentral:rRNA from 1 species